rnacentral:rRNA from 1 species
AGCUCCAGUGGCGUAUAUUAAUGCUGCUGCAGUUAAAAAGCUCGUAGUUGUAUCUAAGGCGUAUGCUAACGGUCCCUCGCAAGGGGUGCACUGUUUGUUCAUAGCCUCCCUCGCGGCUUGCGCCCGGUUCUCUUAACUGAGUGCCGGGUGCGGCCGGAACGUUUACUUUGAAAAAAUUGGAGUGUUCAAAGCAGGCGCAACAGCCUGAACAGCAGAGCAUGGAAUAAUGGAAUAGGACCUCGGUUCUAUUGCGUUGGUUUUAAGAGUCCGAGGUAAUGAUUGAGAGGGACUGACGGGGGCAUUCGUAUUGCGGUGUGAGAGGUGAAAUUCUUGGAUCGCCGCAAGACGACCGACAGCGAAAGCAUUUGCCAAGAAUGUCUUCAUUAAUCAAGAACGAAAG